CCUACGGGGGGCAGCAGUGGGGGAUAUUGCACAAUGGGGGAAACCCUGAUGCAGCGACGCCGCGUGAGUGAAGAAGUAUUUCGGUAUGUAAAGCUCUAUCAGUAGGGAAGAAAAUGACAGUAUCUGACGAAUAAGCACCGGCUAACUACGUGCCAGCAGCCGCGGUAAUACGUAGGGGGCAAGCGUUAUCCGGAUUCACUGGGCGUAAAGGGAGCGUAGACGGGUUUGCAAGUCAGCUGUGAAAGCCUGCGGCUUAACCGUGGAAUUGCAGUUGAAACUGGUAGUCUUGAGUGUAGGCAGGGAUGGUGGAAUUCUUGGUGUAGCGGUGAAAUGCGUAGAGAUCAAGAAGAACUCCGAUUGCGAAGGCGAGUGUCUAG
rnacentral:rRNA from 1 species